rnacentral:rRNA from 1 species
UACGUAGGGAGCAAGCGUUGUCCGGAUUUAUUGGGCGUAAAGAGCUCGUAGGCGGUUCCGUAAGUCAGGUGUGAAAAAUCUGGGCUCAACCCAGUGGAGCACCUGAUACUGCGGUGACUCGAGUCCGGUAGGGGAGUGUGGAAUUCCUGGUGUAGCGGUGAAAUGCGCAGAUAUCAGGAGGAACACCAACGGCGAAAGCACUCUGCUGGGCCGACACUGACACUGAGAGACGAAAGCUAGGGGAGCGAAUGGG